UGAAAAGGUGGUGCCAUGAGGUUCAGCUGAUCUUGAGGUGCCGUUGCCAGCGGCUGUGAUGAGGACACCACGAGUACAUCUACACCAGCAGCACCUCAGGCGCCUCCAGUUGCUCCUCCACCUCAGGCGCCUACAGUUGAUCAUCCGGUUGGGCCAAUCACUCGGGCCCGUGCGAGAGAAUUAAACUUCAUCAUGCUGUUAAGGAACGAAGGCCCAGCGGAAUAAGAAGAUGGCCUAACAGGGUAGCCCAGGUGGGGCGCCUAGGGUUGGGAGCCACGGCCCUCCCCCUGGUCGCGCGCGCCCCCUCCUGCCGUGGCGCCUCCUCCGGAUUCCAGGGGUUGCGCCCCCUUUUAUUUAGUCGGAGUCCCUUUUGUUUACAACUUGAGUUUUGUUUUACAUCUAGCUUUAGCUACUCUUGAACACGCGCAAAUACGCGCUGUCCUUGUGUGAUUCAGAACUCC
rnacentral:lncRNA from 1 species